rnacentral:rRNA from 1 species
UACGUAGGGUGCAAGCGUUGUCCGGAAUUAUUGGGCGUAAAGAGCUCGUAGGCGGUCUGUCGCGUCUGCUGUGAAAACUCGGGGCUUAACCCCGGGCCUGCAGUGGGUACGGGCAGACUAGAGUGCGGUAGGGGAGACUGGAAUUCCUGGUGUAGCGGUGAAAUGCGCAGAUAUCAGGAGGAACACCGGUGGCGAAGGCGGGUCUCUGGACAGUUCCUGACACUGAGACACGAAGGCCAGGGGAGCAAACGGG